GUACCCGGGGUUUGACGGCCCAACCCUCCCGAUUCCCCGUUGAUCCAUCAGUUUCCAGGCGCUACAGAACCCUCGAGGCCCCCCUCCAGGAUUUGCCCGACUCACGCCGCCGCCUGACCCGACCGCCGACUCCUCCCUAAGACGCCGCGCCGCCUCGACGCCGGCGAUCUCCUCCGGCAUACUGGACUUCUCCCCGGUGAUUGGAGCAAGAAGACUGAUGUGAAAAGGGAGACAUCGCCUGGCAUGAUCAAAAAGGAGAUUUUGCGUGUAGAAGUAGAGCUGAUGAAGUGAAGUGUACCAGCUAAUUCCUAUGUUGGUUCUCAGUCACCAAAAGAAGCAACAAUAAACAACCUGGAUGGAUAAAUUUCUCUCGGGUUCUCAAAGCUAGAUGAUCAUGACACCACAAGAUGGAUACAUGUGUCUGCACGUUGUUGAAAUGAACUAUUGUUGUCGUAAUGAAUUGUUGUUGUCGAAGAUCACGUUGUUUGAUAAAUUAUGAUUGCUGAGAUUUGAGAUUCGAAGUCACGCUGUUAUGAUAAAUUAUGUUCUUGCUGUGAUGAGAUAUUGAUUUCAAAUCGUGCAAAAUUAUGUUGCUUCUAAA